AUUGAACGCUGGCGGCAGGCCUAACACAUGCAAGUCGAACGAGUGGCGGACGGGUGAGUAAUGUCUGGGAAACUGCCCGAUGGAGGGGGAUAACUACUGGAAACGGUAGCUAAUACCGCAUACCAUCGGAUGUGCCCAGAUGGGAUUAGCUAGUAGGUGGGGUAACGGCUCACCUAGGCGACGAUCCCUAGCUGGUUUGAGAGGGUGACCAGCCACACUGGGACUGAGACACGGUACAGACUCCUACGGUAGGCAGCAGUGGGGAAGAUUGCACAAUGGACGAAAGCCUGAUGCAGCCAUGCCGCGUGUAUGAAGAAGGCCUUCGGGUUGUAAAGUACUUUCAGCGAGGAGGCGUUACUCACAGAAGAAGCAACGGCUAACUACGUGCCAGCAGCCGCGGUAAUAC
rnacentral:rRNA from 1 species